rnacentral:lncRNA from 1 species
CGGAUCUGCAAGGGAUAAGUUGGGAGUGGAUCAGAUGAUUAUAUACAUGUGAAAUGCGCCCGUGUCGCCACCGGAAAGAUGCUCGAAAUGGUAUGUCGGGUAUCACCUUAAUGUUCUUUCAGGACGGCGUAUUUCUCCCCGCCGACUGCCGCUUAUUUCCUGCUUGCCCGUGUGAACUCGUCCUUGUGAUCCGAAAAAAUGCCAAUUCUCAUAUUUUAUUUCGAUAUGCCUGGGCUGGUUAUGUAUUACCCAGACAGGAUGUGACAUCACCGGGGUCCAAACUAAAAAAUGUCGCAGGACAGGCUGUCUAGGAUGUCCAGAACCCUGGAGGAUGCUGCCUCGCAGUGGGGUCCAGACAUGUGAUGUUCGCUGGAGGAUGCAGGAGAUAACCACGCAGAAUGUCUCUUUUCUCUACCCCCUGGUUUGAGUAUGACCCCUCCCCUGGCUUGUGACCCUUCACCUGGAUAACACUCCUGGCAGUUGUCUCUGGGACAGACUACUCAUGUUGAACCAUAGCAGGUUACCAUGAUCUUCAAGAGGCAGCAAUGGGAAUACGUUCCUAGAACAACAAAGAGAGAAGGAGUUUAUCGAGCCCCCGAAGCCCCCUCCGUCAGAAUGAAGCUCACCUAGAACCCAUCCCUCAUCAUGGGAUCUGAGACAACACACACUUACUUUCGCUGCUCUUCACUACUCCGAGGACAGUAGUUGUUUUCUUUGCCGUGCUGCACCAGAGCUGUGAUGAUGCUCCCCGAGGCCUCCUCUCUCACCCCAUGUUCUGACUCCCUGGGAUGUGUGGAGCUGUGAGGUCCACUGUCACCGCCCGUCACCACCCAUGGCCCUGGAAGAGAAGAGGUGACGGAGCAGUUUGUCUGUUGACCUUUCCCCUCUCAGUCAGAUCGGUCCUCAUCUCUGUUCCAUCCCCUUUGGCAACACCUGUCUCUCUGUGGCCUUCAUGUAUUUGCUCAUGGUCGUGCCUCAGUGUGUACAUGGUGUGUUACCUAUGUUUUCCUGGACAUUUAAAGUUCAAGUGGAAUCUUUGUUGGCUAUCCAAUAGCAUUCUGUUAUUUGGUAUUAUGGAAUUAUAAAGAGGGGGGUAAUCCAUGUGGAUCAUGGGUCAUAAAAGUUCACAUUAUAGUAAUUUCCCCUGAUUAGAGUCUUGGUGGUCAUACAAUUAAUUUGAUUUUAUGGAAAUAAUUAAAUGAAGGAUCCAAGUGUGAAGUAGGCUACAGUAUUUGGAUAACUGAUUUGUGUGGGUGAAAUGGGGAUCACUGUUUUCACUGUGAAAUUAUAUGAGUUAGGGACAAAUGUUUUUGUAUUUUAUCAUUUUAUACAUAUUAACAUAUUAACAUACUGCCUUGCAGGGAAACUGAAAACUGCACAGGUGAUCAUUUUACCAAAGUCAGGCAUGAUUCUUAUGUUUUGGAUUUCUAGACUCGAUACAUAAGCAAAGUCUGCUGAAUGAUUUGACUUAGGCUACAGUGUGUCAAACAGGUUUAAAGUUCUUAAAAUUAUUGUUGUCAUAGAAGACGCCAGUAUUGCAUGUUGAAAGAACGAUAAAGAAUGUCUGAUUCAA